AUGCCUUUCAAGAAUAGUGACAAGUUGUUGUGUUUCAUAAUCGGAAAGCUUGUCAUUGAUAAUUACUAGAGUUUUUGGGUUGUUGUGCAAAAAGACAUAUCUAAGGCCAGAAGGAAGAGGUUUUAACUCUAUCGAAGGAGGUGAAGGUUGUUCAUUUUUGUCUAGCUCAACAGGUUCUACCAAGUCUUCUUCUUCUUGAACAAAGUGUUCAUGAUUAAAGAAUGGUUGGGCCAUCUCCUCUUGAGUAGCAUUA
rnacentral:lncRNA from 1 species